rnacentral:lncRNA from 1 species
AACGACCGUCCUCGAGGAAUGAUCAAAGGACAGAAUGAUAUCAAAUACUCACUGGAACCGUUGCUUGCAUUCACUCCAAAUGCUGAAAAAAAUUUUGGCUACCACUCUCAGGAGUCACCGUUGGAAAAAACGGAAGUUGACUUGAUUUCGCCAAGAAUGGACAAAAUUGUCACAGAACUGAAUGAACAUGCCAACAAAAACAUUGAAACUCGAUCAUUGGAAACAGAGUGCCAUUCUGAAAGUGAUGACCUCAAUGAUGUAGAUAACCUUCUACCAAGCAAGCAUGAACUUACUAUCUCUCGCUUGGCUGAGGAGAAUAAGAUCCUGAAGUCUAAGUAUGAAUUUAUCAGAGAACAAAAUGAAAAGUUGGAAACUCUGAAUGCUAAAUUCUCGUCGGCUAAUCUUCACCUAGGGAAAAAAUUGAGGGCUUAGUGACUGAAAAUCAAUUGUUACAAGAUUGCGUCGAAAAUUUAGAAAUGAAGCUAAGCAUGCACGGUGAUUUGGUAAGGGAACUUGAUCAACUGCGCCUUCAAGUUGCAAAAGGGAGGGAAAGUGCCAAAGAUUCCAAAAAUCUUCAGCAAAUUGUGAAAACUGUCACAAGUCAGAGAGAUGCUCUGAAGGUUCAGCUUUUGCAGCAACAGGAGUUGGCAGAAAACUCUUUAGAACAAAAAUCAAAUGAACUGUCAAAGCAAGAAGAAAUGCGUGACGAGCUGUUAGUUUAUAUAAAUCAACUUGAAUCUGACAUUGAUAUUCUUAAGAAUCAAGUUUUUGUCCUCUCGAACACCAAGGAAUUCUAUCGAAAGUGCUGCUCUAUGAAACUAGAACAUCUUGAUCAAAAGUUGCUUGAAGCAGAAUCUUUGAAGUGCCUUCUAUCAGACAUGAGAUUCAACCCAGCUCUCAGAAAUGUCAAAAUGACGCUCCAUGUGGUUGAAUAUUUCCAGGAAGCUAACGUUCCACCUAGCCAAAUCAAUCUUGUGAUGAAUAUUAUUCGUACUGCAUUGUGUCGGCUGUCAAGAGAAAUGGAUGAUCUCUAUCAAACUUUGUACAAAGCUUUUGACAAUGGUGAUCCCUGUCAUAAAAACUUUCCAGAUCCACCUCGCCAAACUUUUUCAGAUUCUGAUAUAUUUGGGAAAAAUUUAACAAUCGACUCAAGAAAAUCUCACUUUUUCACCCCCAAGAAAAUGCUGAUGGAACUUUGCCCCGAUGAUAAACCACUAGUGGAAAAAUUGUUUUCAUCAAAAUUAAUUCAAGAAGACGAAGGUUUAACCGAUGAAAGUAUGUCAAAACAAUCAUGGCUUGAUGAACUUGAAAUUGAAAACCAAAGAUUAAAAAUAAUUUUAUCAAAUACAAAUAAAGAGGUCGAGCAGUUGAAUGGCAUUCUAUCUGAAAAUAGGAAAACUUUGGAAAAUUACCAAAAUUGUACUGGUGAGUUGAAAAGAGAAAUUGAAACUCUAAACAAAAUGCAUGGGACAAUGAGUGUCAACUGUUGCAAUCAAAUCAUAAGUACCUUCUCAAUUGCAGAUGAAUGUAUGUGGAAAUCAAUUGAAUCCUCUGACAGCCCUUAUAUAGGAUCUCAGAAUCAUUCUAUAUCAAAUGAAAAACAGAACGUUGGUUCAUUGAGUGAGCAAUUCUUGGUGGAAAAAUCCAAAAAUGAACUAUCAAGAAGAUGUCCUCUGCAUGUUUGUGUAGAUGAAGUCUCGAAGACCAUGACUCAGGAAUCAUCAGUCUCUCUAAGUUUGACAGAGGAUCUGUGCUCCAUUCUCCGAAAACUUGGAAAUUUCCCUACACUCCAUCAAAUUUUCUGUAGAUAUUAUCCUAUUUUAAGAAACUUGUUUCUAAAUUUUCAAAUCAAGAUUGAGCCCAAACAAAAACCAACAAAUGACAUGGUGAUUAUUGUUCAUUUAGAGGACCUUGAAAAUCAAGAAUUUUCCAAUUUAUUCCAAAAAAUUAUCCAGGUGCACAGCCUAGGUGACUUUCAAAAUUUUUUAGCAAAUCCUCUCAAGAAAAUUAUUUAUGUACUUUUACACCAGUGA